GUUGGGAAUUGUGGGAAAUGUUGGGAAUUGAUGGAAAUAUUGGGAAUGUUGGGAAUUGUGGGAAAUGUUGGGAAUUGUGGGAAAUGUUGGGAAUUAUGGAAAUGUUGGGAAUAUUGGGAAUGUUGGGAAUUCUGGGAAUUGGGAAUGUUGGGAAUUGUGGGAAUUGUGGGAAUUUUGGGAAUUGUGGAAAUGUUGGGAAUUGGGAAUUUUGGGAAUUAUGGAAAUAUUGGAAAUAUUGGGAAUGUUGGGAAUUGGGAAUUGUGGGAAAUGUUGGGAAUUGAUGGAAAUAUUGGGAAUGUUGGGAAUUGGGAAUUGUGGGAAUUUUGGGAAUUGUGGGAAAUGUUGGGAAUUUGGAAUGUUGGGAAUUGGGAAUGUUGGGAAUUCUGGGAAUUGGGAAUUGUGGGAAAUGUUGGGAAUUGUGGGAAUUCUGGGAAUUGUGGGAAAUGUUGGGAAUUGGGAGUGUUGGGAAUUGUGGGAAUUGGGAGUGUUGGGAAUUCUGGGAAUUGUGGGAAUUGGGAAUUGUGGGAAAUGUUGGGAAUUGAUGGAAAUAUUGGCAAUGUUGGGAAUUGGGAAUUGUGGGAAUUUUGGGAAUUGUGGGAAUUUUGGGAAUUGUGGGAAUAUUGGGAAUUGUGGGAAAUGCCCACGGAUUCCCGGGAAUGGCGGAAUUCCCGCGGAUCCCGAUCCAAGGCCGGAAUUCCCGGCAGGAUUUCCAGGAUUCCUGCGUCGUCCUCAUUUCCAACCUGCCCGACAAAGGAUAUUCCCAGGAGGAAAUCUCCAACCUGGCCAAAC
rnacentral:lncRNA from 1 species